UGUAUAUGGGAUGAAUUUAGAAUUGAAUGUCAACUUAACAUAAAUUUAAAUUCAGCAAAACCGUUUAAUUGAUAGAGUACAGUGACUCUAUACGGGACAGAAUCGGUCUAACGUUUCGAAGGUACCAUUGAUACGUAUAAGUAUCAUAAGUAAAGUAAAGUAAGUUCACAAUUAAGGAAUAUUCUACAUUUUCCAUAUUUUAUAUUAUAUAUGGUAUAUACCUAUAUAUAUAGACUACUUGUGAAACUACUUGUAUUUCUUCUACAAUGGGUUUGUUGGAAAUAUACAAUUAUUUGAAUACAGAAUUAUCGCUUGCAUAAAACAGGAUGGUAUGGACUCUUAUUGAAAAUAUUUGAUUACAUCGAAACGUGCAUAUUUGUGUUGAGGAAGAAACGAAACCAAGUCUCUGCUUUACACGUGUAUCAUCAUAUAUCUAAUGUAGCAUGUGUACAAUUUUUGAGCUUCUUAUAUUUUCUACUGCAGUUUCUCACUUGCGAAGUGCCAAGAGGAGUAGUGUUACUAUUUGCUGUAAAUAUAUUUAUAUUUCUUUAUCUAUUUUAUGAUUUUUAUAAGAAAUCUUAUACAUCAAAACAGAAGAGUAAUUAACAUUGAGAAAUAAUUUUGUAUUACCUGAACAAAUAAUACUAAUUAUUGUAUAUCAUUUGAUAUAUA